rnacentral:misc_RNA from 1 species
GAUGAAAUUGAAGAAUCAGGUAGUGAAAGUGAGUUCCGAAUGUCGGAGAUUGCGAGGAAGAGGACAUGACCGGAGUUAACAUUGCUGUAAUUAGGGCCUUGAGAGAGGGCUUUCAGUGCUUCAACAACUGCCGGCGGCCAGAAAAGAGAAAAUGAACGGAGACGCACCGGCAAAAAGGGAAGGAUUGACUUCACGUCUUCUCUAUUCUCCAUUGAC